rnacentral:misc_RNA from 1 species
AACAUCGCGCACCUGCGGGAACCUGCGGAAGGAUCAUUAAAAAGAGUGUGUACCCCUCUGUAAAAUGAGUGGGUUACCUCCCGUCCUUUGUUGACCUCUUAGGAGGUUAUUUUGAACUUUCUGCUUCGGUGGGGUUAAACCUACCGGAACACCCUCAAAUUCUUAUCAUUUAAAAAUUGUUCAGUCUGAUUUUUGUUAAUAAAAACAAAAAACUUUUAACAAUGGAUCUCAGAUCGGAAG